CUCUCUCCUCUCUCAUCUUCUUCACGUUUCUUAUCUCUCCUCUCUCAUCUUCUUCACGAUUCUCUUGAUCUGCAUCAAUUUUUCUCCCAAAUUUUCAUUGCUAAUUCUUUCGUUAAUGUUAUAUUGAUUUCUUUGAUGAUUUUUUUGGGUUUAGUUGAUUUGAAAUUGAGUAAUUUUAUGGUUGCCCUGUGAACUUAGGGUUUCGUUGUUGAUUCUUUGCAGAUAACUGUGUAAUUUUGGAGAUGAACAAAGAUCGACCAUCUGCUACUCUUGAUUUCUUCAUCUGCAAUGUUGAGGUGACGAUUUAAUUUUCACUGUUUAUUUUUUUCCGCUCUCAAAUUGGCGAGUUUGGAAUUAGCGUUUAUGAUUUCACGGAAGAUGACGAAUUGACCGAAACUCUUCAGCAUUAUUGUGUCUAAUCGACAACAUCUCCCUUCUUUUCCAGUAGCGGCUUUCGGUUAUUGGCGUUAUAUUCCAAGGGGUCUGUUUUGAUUAUUAGAUGGAUGGGAGGUUCAUUUGGUGUAGUUUCUCUCUCCUCUGUGACAUAUUCUCAAUGGCAGCGAGCCUCGAGUCACCAUUGCAAGCUUCAGCAGCAACCUCAAUUGCCAAGCUAGACACCUCAACCUUACUUCUUCUCGGCUUCCCAUCUCCAAUUCUUCUGGUUUUGUUGUCACAGCCCGCGAUAGGAUGUUUAUGCAAAGGAGAGUGUUUGGCUAAGAAAGUGAAAGGUUUUGAAUCCCCUUUUGAUGAGUUUGAUUGCACCUUGAAGAACCGAAAGUGAAGGAUAUUGUCAUGAAUGUGAAUUCUCCGGGAGGGUCAGGUCACUGGUAUGGCAAUAUUUAACACAAUGUGGCACAUCCGACUUGAUGUCUCCACUAUAUGUCUUGGACUCGCAGCAAGGUUCUUGCGGAAAGAGCUUAUCUUUUGGGUGUGGAGCAAAAGUGUGUUAGAGUGAACUCUUUUGGAAUAGAGGAGAAUAUUGGAGCAACUGGCUGAUACAGCAGGGCUUCAAGUUGUUGGCUCUACUUAUCAAAAGUGGUGAUCGAUAAUGACAUUGUGCAAAUCACAAUUGCAAAUCCAGAGGACCAUCUAUUAGGGGUGCACUAUGAUGAAGUCAAUAACUCUUGACGCUCCUAAUAAGGAAUCAAAUAGAGGGUAUUGGGAUGUCGUUUGGGAUAAAAAGAUUACGAUGGCACUUACUGGUUAUUAGGAUCAAAGUUUAAUUUGACUGUAGAAAAUGAAGACCAAGUAGAAGUUUCAUUUGCAUAUAAAUGUGAUUCAACCACUUGGAACACGUUAGAAGAUCAUUACUAGAGAAUUCCAGCUAAUCUAGACAGGAGAUUUCAAUAUAUGGCUAUUUCGGAUGACAGGCAAAGGAUCAUGCCUUUGCCACAUGAUCGCGCGUCAGGCCUUCCGCUUGCCUUCAAAGAAGCUGUUCUUUUGACUAAUCAGUAAUCCCACUAAUCCGGAUUUGAGAGAUGUUGGACUCGCCUUGGUUGGAUGGCUUUUUCAUGAUGGUGCCUAACUUUCUGUGUGUGAGAGAAAAUGAUCUGUUUAGUAAGGUAUGAUGUUCAUAAGAAGUCUUUAUGGGCAUCACCAAGUACCUAAAUGUAGAAAUUUUUUAAUUUGGUUUGAAGUGAGGUGGUACAAAAUUUAGCGUAUGAACUCUGAAAGGUCAAAAUAUUGUCUUUCUAAAUAUUAUUAGGCUAGGCUUGUUGACAACCUUGGUCUUUUGAGAGGUUAAUAUUGAUUGUAACUCUAUUGAGAGAUUGAUCACUUCAAAGAAAUGUUAUAUUUGUUGUCUUUUA